CGGGGGGGGCGGGGGGAGGGGACGACGGUGGUCCCGCUAAAGGGUUUGUGGUCCGGGACGCCCCAUGGAACGCCGCAGGGAAUAAGGCUCCAGACAUGAGCAGUGCAGAGGAUUUUCCCACAUUCGGGACCGGAAUUGCCCCAAAACAAACCUCAGCCUGGGGCCCGAAAAAGUUCUGAGUUCAUCUUUAAAGGUCCCAUAAUGCACUGCUCUCUGACCUCUGCUCUAAUGUCGUUUCCUCGUCACAAACAGACCUGGAGUUGUGUUUUUUUGUUUCAUUCUCACACGUUUAACACACAAAACCUGCAGAUUUCGGCUGAGUUUUUCUGUCAAACUGAAAACACUCUGUUCCACCUUGUGAUGUCAUCAUGUGGUGAUACAGGAAGUGCUUUACUGCGUUUUUAAACUCCACACACCUUCAUUUCUAGAAUCAUUUGGAUCAUUUCAGCUUCUUGAAUUGCCACUUAUCUCGACUGAAAUAACUCCUCCCAUUUUUACCGUUAACUUGAAAACUACCACUUGAUGACAUCACAAGGUGGAACAGAGUGUUUAGUGUGACUCAAACACUCAUCCAUCCAUUUUCUUCCUCUUAUCUGGAUCCGGGUCGCGGGGGCAGCGGUCUAAGCAGGGACUCCCAGACCUCCCUCACCCCAGACACUUCCUCCAUCCUUCUCUCACUCGUGAAAAGUCCCCGAGAUACUUGAACCGCUCCACGUGACGCAGAGACUCUCCACCCUGAGCAGUGGGUGGAGAGUCUGUGUGAGGUCGGAGGUGACUUAAACGUGCGUGAACGAAACAAAAAACACAACUCCAGGUGCAUUUUUGACGAGGGAACGGCGUUAGAGCACGACUUAACGCUCACGAGAGUCAGUUUUGCGUAAUACAGGACCUUUUUUAAAGAGAAAAACGUGUAUUGUAGGUGAAAAAAAACCUGACUGCUGCUCGCCUUCCUUCCUAUGUCGACCCUCAUCCACCAACCUCCAAAAAACCAGCCACAAAGAAUCUUCUGAAGAAACUAUUCCUUCAUAUAUUUUUUCAUUCUCUUUCGUACGUGUCGUUUGGUUGUUUGGUUUCCGGGGCGACGAGGACGACAUUGGGAGCUGUCACUUUGUUGUUUUUGCUGUUUUAAGCUCUUACUCUUGCACUGCAUUAGCUGAUCUUUUUAAACGCCGUCUGUAUCUGCUGACCGUCAGUAAUGUGAACGAGCGUCCUCCGAGAUGAGCUCAUUUAAAAUAUUUAUUAAGGAUUUCAGAUGAGAUUGACCAUUUCUGUGUGUUCAUUCCCUUUUUCAC
ensembl:lncRNA